AGCGAACGCUGGCGGCAGGCCUAACACAUGCAAGUCGAACGAACCUUUCGGGGUUAGUGGCGGACGGGUGAGUAACACGUGGGAACGUGCCUUUAGGUUCGGAAUAACUCAGGGAAACUUGUGCUAAUACCGAAUGUGCCCUUCGGGGGAAAGAUUAAUCGCCUUUAGAGCGGCCCGCGUCUGAUUAGCUAGUUGGUUGAGGUAAUGGCUCACCAAGGCGACGAUCAGUAGCUGGUCUGAGAGGAUGAUCAGCCACAUUGGGACUGAGACACGGCCCAAACUCCUACGGGAGGCAGCAGUGGAGAAUCUUGCGCAAUGGGCGAAAGCCUGACGCAGCCAUGCCGCGUGAAUGAUGAAGGUCUUAGGAUUGUAAAAUUCUUUCACCGGGGACGAUAAUGACGGUACCCGGAGAAGAAGCCCCGGCUAACUUCGUG
rnacentral:rRNA from 1 species